rnacentral:lncRNA from 1 species
UUGUAAUGUAAUACAUGUAACAUGGAAAGAUUUAACAGAUGAAAGGAUACAUAACUACAUUGAAAUGCAUUGUUAGCAUGGUGAGACUAUAGAUAAUAUUCCCAUACUCCAUUGUACCCAGGGUUUUAAAAUGAAGUUCUUUAUUUCUAAAAUUAAUCAUAAUCAAAAUUACAAAGUUUAGAAAUCUGGUGGUAGUUUAUAGGGAAGACAAGUUAUUUCUUAGAGAUGAGACAUUUUUACUUAUAAUUUUUUUGAUAGAUAAAGGCCAAAGGAAAGGUUUGCUAAGUCUAUGGUUUUAUGACUAGAGACAUUACUGGUGUCACUGAAAGAUAUUUGGAGAUGAUGCUUUCUUAGGAAUAGAAGAAAAGUAAUUACCCAGUUUUAGAUUGGUGGUAGC